AAGGCAUUGGCAGCUGAGAUGAAAGCAUUGUAAGUGUAGAAUCCCUUGCCAGGGCAUCCACCAUCAUUUCUAUGUUUAAGCAUCUCAUCAAACUUCGCACUUGUGAUGAUACUGCCAAGGUCUCCUCCGCCCGCACCACCGCACUGGCUUUGGCAGCCGUUACCACAGUAAUCAUUAGUUUUAUCUGAUACAUAAAAAUCCAGUUUUAUCUGCUCAUAAAAAUCAUACUCAAUCUUUUUCCUGGCCUCCAAUAUAGACCGAACUUUAUUAUGCUAGCUGCACCUUGAUUAUUAAUUAGCUACUCUUUCAAAGAAUCUUUAAGUGAUGAUAUAUAUAGAUAACUAGCUAACAGCGAUGUUCCUGACUUCUUUUCUUCUUCUAUGUAAAUUAAAUUGAUACUAGGGUUUUUUUAUCUUGUUUUAUGGGUUAUAGUUGCACCUGGUGUCAAAAACCAUCAAAAGCUCCGCAACUCUAUUAGGAAAAUAGAAAAGGCUUUGGACUUCCACAGCAUGAUUUAAUCCAUGAACUGAGACGGUAUUUUGUAAAUACGUAACUAUUUCCGAUCGCCUGGAAGGGACAAAAGAAACAUCUUAUUCUUACUGGUGGAAAUAGAAAAGGUCGAUAAGCUAAAAGCUUUCGUUAUUUAAAUACACGAUAGCUUCAACAUCAAAUUACAUGGUGUCCUUCAAUCCCAAGAGUCCAUAUCCAAAAGGCCUUUGCUGGUAGCAGUCAAGAUUGGAGCCAUAGGUUGUUCCGAGUGAAUCACAGUAUGUCUUGUAGAACCCAAUGCGAUUCUCAUUUGCAUUAUUUGGCCCUCCCUGACCACAUUCAAUGCCACCAUUGAUGAUGUUUGUUAUCACACCAUAGCCUGGAACCCUACCAGCCUCCGAGUCUGCCGCGCUCGGUGUCCAACUUUCAGUGAUGACUGCGUGACAAGAGGGCUUUGGGGACUGUGGUGUCAUCCAAAACCAGAGUGCUGUCUUGAAGGCAAUGAAAGGAUCAGUCUCAACAAGUUCUGGUUCUUGUAACAGUGGCAAGUUUAAGUCGUCUCCGCAUAGCCCAUAAUUAUAGUUCCUGCACCACAUGUUAAUAAACUAACUCAAUGCAAAUCAAGAUCCAACAAUGUUUUGCUGGAUUUGGCCUUUUCUUUUGAUUCAAAGUACUACACAAUAUAUCUUCCAUAUAUAAAAAAAAUUACUUAACCAAUAAACUAAAUCAAACGACUCAGCUAGUCAAGGCCUUGCGGAAUUACCAUGAAAGUUGGAUUGGUCCUCGGCCACAAUAUUGCUUGCCCGCAACACAUUGAUAUUUGGAAGAUGGUUCACAAUAAUCUUGACAAUUUAUUUCCCUAAUAUGGCAAUAUCCCCAAUCGUAUGGGUCACCUUGUGCAGCUGGCCACCAUCCUUUAUGUAGGAGCAUGCAUUGUCAAAUUAGAGACAAGGAAAUUUAUCAACCAAGGAUAUCCUUAUUUAAUUAAUUACAGAAUGAGUUUGUACACCGAGUCUGCUCAACCUAGGCAUCCUAUGUCAUUAAUUGAAGUUAUGAGCAAGAAAUUAAAUAAAAAAAAAACCCUACCGUUAGUUUCAUGAGAUGUCUGGCCCAGGAAAGCAGCAAUCUCCCUUUUACGCAUCAGAUCAUCACCAGUGUUACCAAAAUCAGGGAAUUCCUUAGCAGCGGAGAUAAAAGCAUUAUAGGUGUAGAACCCAACAGCAGGACAUUGAGGAUCAUUUCUAUACUUGAGCAUAUCAUCAAACAUUGAUUCUGGGAUGAUGUCACUUAAGUAACCAUCACCUCCACCUCCACCACCGCCUCCACCACCCCCACCCCCACCCCCACCCCCACCUCCUCCAUCACACUGGCUCUGACAACCAUCACCACAAUAAUCAGCCGUUGUCCCGCACCAACCAUAAGAACUACAACAUAGGCCUCCUGGACACAAGGCAUCCCCGGCUUGCUGACCGCAUUGCUCAGCUGAGCCUCUAACCGAAAGGGACAAGAAUAAGGAGAAAAAUGCGAAUGCCCAAACACUCAUUUCUUGUUAAAUGCUUGAGUUCGUUGAUGAUUGAGAAGGUGAAAGCAUGUGGGUAUAUAUAGCCAAUAAUAGAGGUAUACGAUGGUAUUUCCGUCCUUAUAAUUUGUAAUAAAGCUUCAUGUUUUCCAUGGAGAAGGUAACAAAAGUGCCAUCUUUGUCCCCAGUAUUUCCUUGUUGAUCAAGAAGGUACUACAACUUCUUCGUAGGAAAAAAAAAACAAAGAAAAACAAAUCAGAUUGAUUAAGUGCAGCUUUUCUUUUAAUUUUUCUUGAAAAAAAAUUGAGAGUUCAAAGUUCUUUGAAUCAUUGGGUUACCAGGAAUGAAAAGUUAAGAAUGAGAUUGCAUGAAUCGAAAUGAAAAUUAGGGAAUCGUAAUGAGAUUUUAAUUAUCAUGCUGUUCCAACUAUAAAGUAAGAAUAAAACUUUUGAUUCUUAUUCUCUAUUUUAUUAAAAGUUAGCCCUUGAGAACCAGACCAUGUUCUUUGAGAGUUUCCAUAAGUAAGCCACGGAAUUCCUUUCCAUUGAUAAUGCUUGCUCAAUCUGGUUAAGAAUAAAAUUAAUUCUAGUAUAUCAAAUUAAUUAAGAAUUAAUUUACAGAUAAAUAAUACUGUUAAUACAGGAGCAAGAAGGAUGAGGUGGGGUCCGUAUCCAUUUCGUCAAUCUAUCGUGAAAUAAGCAUUUGUUAAUUCAAAUAAAACAAAUCACAACGACGUAGCAAUUUUUUUUAAUCACUUGAUGCUAAAUCAUGAACCAUGUGCUUUACUCCCAAAAAAAAAAAAAAAGGAUAAAAACAUUUUCCAUGAAUUAAUUUAGAUAAAGGGGGAAAAUUUGUUUUUCUUGAACCACGUGACUUGGCAUCAAAGACCCAUCAUGUCUUUGUUCACGAACUUAAUACACAGAAUGCGUUGUGACAACGACAAAUUAAGGAAACCAAUAAUUUCAGGCCUUUUUUUUUAAAAAAAAAUAAAUAAAUUAAAAAGAACAUAAUUUCCAUCAUUACAAACAUUAGAAUCUGUGACUUUUUUUUAAUUAAUAUAUUGUCUUAGUCAGCUUAGAUACAUUUUAACUAAUUCCAUAAAUUCUAAAAUUAACGAUUAUGUAAAUUUUUAAUGAUUUUAAAAUUUAUGAGAAUCGAACUAGUGAUGACCAUAACGUUGGUUUUGGCAACCGGUAUUGCAAUUAUCUGGAACUUUGCAACAUCAACCAUGUUUAUGCUAGAAAAUAAUAUUAAAUUAUUACUGAGAUUUUAUUUAAAAUCUUAAGAUUUUAGUCGGAUAAUUUUUUGAUAUAAUAUUAGAGUGUUGUUGAUUAAAUGAUCACUAGUUCAAAUCACAUCAUUUUUAUUUUAAUUAAUAAAAAUUAAAUAUAAAAUAAUAUAUACCAGUAUAAGUUUUAAACCUAAAAAUAUUUUACUUACAAAAUGUAUUACAAAAUAAUAUAAAAUAAUAUAUUUAAAAAUUUACUUAAAAAUUUAAAUACUUAAUUUUUUAAAGUGACAUGAUACAUAACAUCUUUACAUAAUUUUUUUCUAUUAUGAUUUUUGCAUUAGAAUUUACCCCUACUUUGACUUUCACGUUGCGCUACUAAGCCUCCCUGUAAGAGUGUUUUUGAAAAUAUAACUGUAGUUAUUUUUUCUUCUCAUUUAAAAAUAUAUCAAAAUAAUAUUUUUUUUAUUUUUAAAAAAUUAUUUUUAAUAUUAGCACAUCAAAAUAAUCUUAAAAUACUAAAAAAUAUUAAUUUAAUGCUAAUAAAAAUAUAAAAAAAUUAAGUUUUUUUAAAAAAUAAUUUUAAAACACGCAAUAAUAAUAGAGAGAAAACUGUGAAGACCCGAAGCUUCAUUUUGAAGCACAACGUUUGGGAAUUUGGUGGUCGCUGAGAUUGAAAGGAGGACAGGUAUAUACUUAUAGGGAAAUACUGUUCAUUGAUCGAUGAAGAAAGAUCGACGAUUUUCGUGACAUACAAUUAUCAUAUUCGGGAUUAUUGACAAGUGCAUGGAAACGUGUAAGCCUUCAUGACAAAAGGGCCGACACGUCUAGAACAAUGGAUCGAUCUAUGUGUUUUCGGGAGAGAUCUUGUGACCACACAGUGAAGAAAACAGCCCAACCUCUGGUCACAGCACUUUGAAGCCUCAGCAAGAACUGAAGAACGUAUUCUCGCCUAGUAAAGACGAGGAAACAACGAAAUAGAUGUGUGAAUAUCUCAUGCUAGGUUUGGGUAGCAUACUAAAAAAACAGCUAUUUUUGUGAUCGAAUGUUCACUUAUAAACAAGCAAAAAUCCUUCACAAACGCGCUUCGUGAUGGAUUUGUGACCGAAAAUAUUCGGUAAAAAGCACACUAACAACAAAACGUAAUUUGGUUACUAUUGGAAGAAGGCUGAAUAUUAGUCGAUUCUUUAGCAACAGUUAUAUGAUACGUAAAAGAUUAAUUAUACCAAUGCUUUUAGGAAAAAGAUAUACAGUCCUUAUAAGAUAAAGAUUGACAGUUAGAUUGUUAGUUUCCUUUGUAAUCAUGGACUUCUAUUCCGCUUCUACUUGCGCCUCUGCUGUGUUGUAUAUAUAUAUGGCACAUUACAUAAUAAAGUAUACACUGCAAUUCCAAAGCAGCAACUCUGUUAUCAUAUUCUUUGUUCCUUCUUUUUCUACAUGGUAUCAGAGCAGGUUUCGAUUGACCUGCAUUUUACUUAAAGUUUUCUAUGGAAGACUCUUCUAAAUAUGUUGGUGCUGAUGACAUCAACAGAUUUUCUAACACAUCAGAAGGAGAACAAAGUAAUCCAAACCAACGUCUAGGUUCAGUUUUGUUGAAUGAACUCAACUAUCUUCCUUGGUCAAGAGCUGUAACAAUUGCUCUUGGUGGAAGGUCCAAACUUGGCUAUGUUAAUGGCCAUAUCAAGGCCCCAGACCCUUUCUCGUAGAAUUAUGAAGCAUGGCAAUGCAAGGAUCAACUUGUCAUGUCUUGGUUACUUAAUUCUAUGGAGAACAAUAUUGCUGAAAUAUUUAGUUAUUCAGAAUCUUCAAUGGACCUUUGGGAGGCUGUGAAGGAGAUGUAUGGAAAUCAAAACAAUGCAGCUCGUGUUUUUCAAAUCAAAAGAGAUCUUGCUAAUCUGCAGCAAGAUGGCAAAACUUAUGUGCAACUACUUGGAAUUCUAAAAGGUAUGUGGAGUGAACUUGCAUUAUAUCAACCUCAUACUGUUGAUGUUGCAGUAUUGAAAAAACGAGAUGAGGAAGACAAGAUAUUCCAAUUACUAUCCAGUCUUGGUCCAGAUUAUGAAGACCUUCGAAGUCGAAUUCUUAUGAACUCUGAUCUUCCAUCCCUUGCGAAUGUAUCUGCUACAAUACAGCGAGAGGAAGCUCGCAGAAAAAUCAUGAAUCCAGAGCCAAGAAUCACCUUGCCAGAAACCCGUGUAUACGCUGUUACCAGACAGAUGAAAAGUAAUAAAUCUUAUAAAGGAAAACGACCAGAUUUGAAGUGCACUCAUUGUCAUAAUCUUGGACACACAAUCGGGCGGUGUUGGAUCCUUCAUCCAGAAUUAAGCCUAACUUUGAAAAGGAAAAGGGACUUCAAAAGGGUUAUGGAUAUAAAGCUCACAUUGCUGCUCGCUCUACUGAUGAUUCUUCUCCAAGUAAUGUAGUGAACUUUUCUACCAACCCGUCUGCUCUUCUUAAUGAUUUUGCCAAUUAUCUUAAGGAAAAGGGUGAUGCUAGCUUGACAGCCUCAAACAGUUCUGAUUCUAUAGCUAUUCUUGGUAAGUUUGCUGGUUUCCUAGCAAACUCUGAUCAUCUAUCCCAAGAGAAUUUAGAAAGUAUUUUGACUGCUUUUAAAACUGCUUUAGUUGCUAGUACUGUGCAUAAUUUUUGGGUCAUUGAUUCGGGUGCCUCUGAUCAUAUAACAAAUAAAAUGACUAGCUUACAUCAUUUCGAAAAAAUCACUACUCCAACCCAUAUUUCUGUUGCAAAUGGAAAACAUGUCCCUGUUGAAGGUAAAGGGAAAAUUAAGUUGCUCUCUGAAAAUAUUGAGUCUUUGGUUUUAUAUGUUCCAUCUUUUCCAUUCCAAUUGCUUUCUAUUGGCAAGGUCACCAAAACACUAAAUUGUCGUGUUAUAUUUGAUUCUCACCGAGUUCUUUUUCAGGACCGCGCCACCGAGAGGAUGAUUGGUGAAGGUUUCUUUUUUCAAGGGCUUUAUUAUUUUUCAAAUGAUUCUAAGCGUCCUCAAAUUUCUGCUCUUUCUUCCCUUAGUCAGGAUCAAGUUUUAUGACAUCAACGUUUAGCCCAUCCUUCCGAGAAUGUUCUUACAAAAUUAAUGCCCAGUCUAGAUGCCAGAAACAUCACUUGUGAUACAUGUCAUCUAUCAAAAUCCACUAGACUGCCCUUUUCACCCUCUAUGUCUAGAGCCAAUGAGAUGUUUGAACUUGUACACUCUGAUGUUUGGGGACCAACUAUUGAAUCCUUUGAUGGCUACAAGUAUUUUGUUACUUUCGUUGAUGAUUUUUCUCGUGUAACAUGGAUAUAUCUUUUAAAAUUCAAAAGUGAAGUUAUUGAUGUUUUUAAGGAUUUUCAUACGCUAGUCAUAAAUCAAUUUUCUACGAAACUUAAAAUUCUUAGAUCUGAUAAUGGCACUGAAUACAUGUCUCAAAAAAUGACACAGUAUCUAGCUUCUCAUGGCAUUUUACAUCAGUCUAGCUGUGUUGGUACACCCCAACAGAAUGGGGUAGCUAAACGCAAAAAUAGAGAUCUGCUAGAAAAAACUCGAGCCUUGAUGAUACAAAUGCAUGUUCCCAAAACUUUUUGGUCUCAAGGAGUAUUAUCUGCUGCAUAUAUUAUUAAUCGGCUACCUAGCCGAGUGUUGUUUUUUAAAUCACCACUUGAAGUUUUGCAGAAACAAUCACCUGAUGUAUCACAUUUAAGGGUGUUCGGUUGCAUAUGUUUUGUGCAUAUUCAGGCUUCAAAUCGUGAUAAACUUGACGCAAGGGCUGCUAAGUGUAUUUUCUUGGGAUAUUCUUUAACCAAGAAGGGAUAUAAAUGUUAUCACCCUCAUUCCCGGAAACUAUUCAUAUCAAGAGAUGUUUAAUUUGAAGAAACUAUUCCAUACUAUUGUGAGAUAAAUCAGCAGACAUCUUUAAAAGAAAUUUUUCCUCUUCCCUAUCCAGCUCCUGCAAACACGGUAUCUCCCUCAGUCUUACCUCCCACAACUAGCAACACCCCAUCAUCAACCACUGAUGAGCCCUCAGGUAUAGAGAGCUUCGGUCAAAUUAUUUCAGAAUCUGAAAAAGAUCAUGAACACUCUGAACCCAAUGCAAAUCCCGAUAGCGGUAUCCCUGUGUCUACUACAGGACCUCCUUCUAGCACAAGGGUUGCUAAUCCUAUUAUGGCUAAUCCUGAGGGUGAUUCCCUAAAUAAGCAAUCUGAAUUGGAGACUCAUGUUAUUCCUUUGCCACAGACUCGCAAAAAUCCAGUUCGUAAUCGUGCUCCUCCAAUUAAAAUGCAAGAUUUUGUCACAUUUGCAGCAAGACAUCCUAUUUCAAAUUCCCUUACAUACGAACAACUCUCCCCUCAUCAUACAACAUAUCUUUCUGCUAUAUCUAAUGUUCGAGAGCCACGAAAUUUUCAGGAAGCUAAUACUCAAGAUGAAUGGAAACGUGCCAUGAAUGAUGAACUCCUAGCUCUUACUCAGAAUCAAACCUGGAGUAUUGUCAAACUUCCCAAAGGAAAACAUGUUGUUGGCAGCCGGUGGGUGUAUAAAAAAAAGUUUAAAUUUGAUGGCACCAUUGACAGACAUAAGGCAUGUCUUGUAGCUCAGGGAUUUACUCAAACUUUUGGAGUGGAUUACAAGGAAACCUUUGCUCCUGUUGCAAAGAUGAACAAUGUUCGUGUUUUAUUAUCAGUUGCCGUAAACAAAGGAUGGUUAAUGUGUCAGAUGGACGUAAAAAAUGCCUUCUUGCAUGAGAACCUUGAGGAAGAAGUUUACAUGAAAUUGCCUCCUGGUCAUCCUCAAGCUUCAGAUCCUACCUUAGUGUGCCGACUUCACAAAUCACUUUAUGGUUUGAAGCAGUCUUCACGUGCUUGGCAUGCUCAAUUAAGUGCUGUUCUUGAAGAGCUUGAUUUCAAAAGAAGUAAUGCGGAUUCAUCUUUAUUUGUUCAUCUUGGACCUAAGGAAACAUUGGUGGUUCUUAUCUACGUUGAUGAUCUUAUUAUUUCAGGAAAUAACAGUGAGGCUAUAUCACGUCUCAAAGCCACCUUACAACAUCACUUUCCAAUUACAGAUCUUAGCAGAUUGAAGUAUUUUCUUGGAAUAGAAAUGGCAGCUUCUCAUAAAGGAUUAUUUCUUAAUCAACGCAAGUAUGUUCUUGAUUUACUCAAAGAUGCUGAGAUGAUGGAUGCCAAGCCUGCCCCUACUCCAUUGGAUAGUAAAUUGCAGCUUGCCAAAAACAGUGAGCCCCUUCAAUCCAUUAAUCACUACAAGCAUCUUGUAGGUAAGCUCAUUUACCUUACCAUUACACGACCUGAUAUAGCCUACGCAGUUAGCCUUGUUAGCCAAUUCAUGCAUACACCUACUAUUCUCCAUCUGAGUAUUGUCAAGCGCAUCCUACGCUAUCUAAAGGGUUCUAUUGGACGUGGAAUUGUCAUGGCCAAAAACGGUCACACUCAGAUAACCGGAUACAGUGAUUCAGAUUGGGCUGGCAAUGCUAUUGAUCGCAAGUCAACCACUGGUUAUUGUAUGUUUGUUGGUGGUAAUCUUGUCUCUUGGCGUAGCAAGAAACAACAUGUCAUUGCACGUUCUAGUGCCGAAGCUGAAUACCGUGCCAUGGCAUCAGCUACUUGUGAGUUAAUUUGGCUUAAAGGUCUCCUAUCUGAACUGGGUUUUCCAAGUAGCAUCCCUAUGACCUUGUUUUGUGACAACCAAGCUGCCAUGCAUAUUGCAGCCAAUCCUGUGUUUCAUGAAAGAACAAAACACAUUGAAGUUGAUUGCCAUUUUAUUCGUCAACAAGUUCAGUCUCAGAUUAUCCAAACUCAUUACGUCCGCAGUCAUGAUCAACUUGCUGAUGUGUUCACAAAAUCCUUGACCUCUGCUCAUUUUCACCGACUAUUGUCCAAGCUUGGAUCAAUUAAUCCCCUUGAUCCAGCUUGAGGGGGAGUAUUGGAAGAAGGCUGAAUAUUAGCUGAUUCUUUAGCAACAGUUAUCUGAUACGUAAAGGAUUAAUUAUACCAAUGCUUUUAGGAAAAAGAUAUACAGUCCUUAUAAGAUAAAGAUUGACAGUUAGAUUGUUAGUUUCCUUUGUAAUCAUGGACUUCUAUUCCGCUUCUACUUGCGCCUCUGCUGUGUUGUAUAUAUAUAUGGCACAUUACAUAAUAAAGUAUACACUGCAAUUCCAAAGCAGCAACUCUGUUAUCAUAUUCUUUGUUCCUUUUUUUUCUACAGUUACAUUUUUUUAAAAAAAAAAAGUGACCGAUUUUGCGAUCGCAAAUUUAAACUUUUGAAUUUUUCUAUGAGAAUUUGUAUUCCAAUUUAUAGCCACAAAUCGGUUAAAAAAUAAAUAAAUAAAAUUUGAAUUAGCCUGAAUGAUUAAUAUUAGCUACAUCAUAGGCCACACCAAUCAUAUUGGCUGCAACAUUGGCCUCCAUCGCACAAUUAUCCCUUUUUAUGAUUUCCGCGAUAUGUGUUACAUAUAUUUUUUAAAUAUAUUUUUUGUUUAAAAAUAUAUAAAAAUAAUUAUUUUUUAAUUUUUAAUAUUAAUAUAUCAAAAUCAUAAAAAAACACUAAAACAAUAUUAAUUUAAAAUUUUUAAUUUUUUUUUUAAAAAAAAAUCAAAAAACAAAAAUGAUCUCAAACACUACCUAAAAAUAACAAUAAUAAUUUUAGAGAGAGAACUUCGAAGACCCAAAGCUUCAUUUAGUCCUAAGAAUUUGUUGAUCACUGAGAUUAUUAAGAGACCGCGCACGUAUAUAUCUAUCGCAACAUGAAUCAUCAUGGGCCCUGGAAUAGAAACUUUAAACCCAUGACGUGACUCUCGAGCCCAUGACAUGAGUUCCGAGCCCAGGAGGCGGGCAUUUGCCUAGGGAGUUUUCUUACUCCUACACAAGUUCCUACCUUGGGAAUGGGCUUUGUCACGCUUCCCCAGAUGGACUAUGGGCUUGCCUCUCAAAACUUGUUGUCCUAGGCUUGUUGAUCAAUUAUAUAUGUUGCAAUGUUUUUGCAGAAAUCUGAGGUCUCAUCCUUUGAACCUUCAUUUUAAUACUUGAUCACUGUCAGUAUACGCUAUUACUGCUUUAAUAUUUUAUUUUUUUCUUAUUUUUAAUUAGAAGUGGUAUAUUAAAAAUAAUAACAAUAAUUUACUGAUACAACAUAUUUGACAAUAAUAAUCACGCUUCUUCAAGAUUGAAUCUGAAUUUCCAUAUUGAAAUAAUAUUAAGGAUUUUUGUUUUUCCCCCUCUUUUUUUUUUAUUAUCUCGGGAUAAUAGAGAUAAUAAUUUAAUCAUAAUUUAAUGAAUACUGAACUAGACUAACUCUAACAAACAAGUUUUUUUUUUUAUAUAUAUAUAAUUACUUUAGCUGAUUGGUAAUGAAUAUAUUAUGGAUAUCUUGUAGAAUAUUUAUAUAUUUUUUAAAUCCAAUACACACACACACAUAAUACACUUACAUAAUAUUUAUAGUUUUAUUAUUUAAUAUAAUUAGAUACAUUUCAAAUAUAUAUUUCACAAUUUUAUUUUUUUGUUGAAUGAUAAAUAAAUUUUUUAUAAAUAUAAAUAUCUGAAAUCUAAUUAACAAGAUAUAAAUAUUUAAGAUUUUUAUUUAAUAAAUACUCUGCCAUGUGCAUUAAUUUCGUACCAAUUUGGCUCUGUUGAUAAUUAAUUCCAUCGAGGACGUUUUAUUCAUUGACAUGGACUUAUUUAAAAGGAGCUGGACCAUCUCCCAUGAUAGCUAAAAGCUAUUAUUAUUAUUUCGAGACAUGAUAGCUUCAACAUCAAAUUGCAUGGUGUCCUUCAAUCCCAAGAGUCCAAUUCCAAGGUUCUUGCUGGUAGCAGUCAAGAUUGGAGCCAUAGGUUGUUCCGAGUGAAUCACAGUAUGUCUUGUAGAACCCAAUGCGAUUCUCAUUUGCAUCAUUUGGCCCUCCCUGACCACAUUCAAUGCCACCAUUGAUGAUGUUUGUUAUCACACCAUAGCCUGGAACCCUACCAGCCUCGACGUCUGCCGCGUUCGGUGUCCAAUUUCCAGUGAUGACUGCGUGACAAGAGGGCUUUGGGGGCUGUGGUGUCAUCCAAAACCAGAUUGCUGUCUUGAAGGAAAUGACAGGAUCAGUCUCAACAAGUUCUGGUUCUUGUAACAGUUGCAAAUUCAAGUCGUCUCCGCAUAGCCCAUAAUUAUAGUUCCUGCACCACAUGUUAAUAAACUAACUCAAUGCAAAUCAAGAUCUAAUAAAAUGUUUUGCAGGAUUUGGCCUCUUCUUUUGAUUCAAAGUACUUCACAAUAUAUUUUCCAUAAACUGAAUUAAAUGACUCUGCUAGUCAAGGCCUUGCGGAAAUACCAUGAAAGUUGGAUUGGUCCUCGGCCACAGUAUUGCUUGCCCGCAACACAUUGAUAUUUGGAAGAUGAGGCACAACAAUCUAGACAAUUUGUUUCCCUACGAUAGCAAUAUCCCCAAGCGUAUGGGCCGCCAGGUGCAGUUGGCCACCCUCCUUUAUGUAGGAGCAUGCAUUGUCAAAUUAGAGACAAGGAAAUUAAUCAACCUAGGAUAGCCUUAUUUAAUAAAUGACAGAAUGAGUUUGUACAAACCUAGGCAUCCUAAAAUGACAUUAAUUGAAGUUGUGAGCAGGAAAUUAUAUAAAAAAAUAAAACUCUACCGGUAGUUUCAUGAGAUGUCUGGCCCAGGAAAGCAGCAAUCUCCCUUUUACGUAUCAGAUCAUCACCAGUGUAACCAAAAUCAGGGAAUUCCUUAGCAGCGGAGAUAAAAGCAUCAUAGGUGUAGAACCCAACAGCAUGACAUUGAGGAUCAUUUCUAUACUUGAGAAAAGCUUCAAACGUUGAUUCUGGGAUGAUGUCACUUAAGUAACCAUCACCUCCAUCUCCUCCAUCACACUGGCUCUGACAACCAUCACCGCAAUAAUCAUCUGUUGUCCCACACCAACCAUGAGAACUACAACAUAGGCCUCCUGGACACAGGGCAUCCCUGGCUUGCUGACCGCAUUGCUCAGCUGAGCCUCUAACCGAAAGGGACAAGAAUAAGGAGAAAAAUGUGAAUGCCCAAACACUACUCAUUUCUUGUUAAUAUGCUUGAGUUCGUUGAUGAUUGAGAAGGUGAAAGCAUGUGGGUAUAUAUAGUCAAUAAUAGAGGUAUGCGAUGGCAUUUCCGUCCUUAUAAUUUGUAAUAAAACAUCAUGUUUUCCCUGGAGACGGUAACAAAACAAAGUGCCAUCUUUGUCCCCAAUCCCCAUCAUUUCCCUCCUUUCUUUAUUUCCCUCAUUAAAAAUAGAACAAAAAAAUUAUAUUUAUACUAUUUAAAAAAACUAUUUUAUUAAUUUAGUUAUUUAAUAUAGCAUCUCCCAUGGAGAUGCUCCAGCUCCUUUUAAAAAGUCCAUAUCAAUGAAUAAAACGUGCUCGGUGGAAUUAAUUAUCAACAGAGCCAAAUUGUUUAAGCAUCUCAUCAAACUCCUCACUUGGCAGCCACUACCACAGUAAUCAUUAGUGCUGCCACACCAACCAAAUUGGCUACAACAUAGACCUCCCGGACACAGGGCACCCCCGGCCUUUCUUCCACACUGCUCUGCUGAGCCUCCUAGUAAAAGGGACAGCGAUAGAGAGAAAUCCGUGAAGGCCCAAAUCUUCAUUUUGAAGUGUUUUGUUUGGGAUUUUGUUGAUUUUGAGAUCGUAACAGCAUUAGUAUAUAUAGGGGAAACAUGGCUACUUAAUACAUUUGUCACUUGUUAAUAAAAACUAUGGACUAUUUCAAUAAUGAUGGCUGCUCAUUUAUCCAAUCUAGUACUUUUCUAGAUGAUUUUAAACCAUAAUGGUCUGACCUCAUGAGGAUUUAUCUUAGAUUAUCGCGUUCGCGUUUUUUUAACUUUUCUGGAUUUAACAUCUAUGUAUUAAUUAAACAGAAGAUAUAUAAUAAAGUGAUGAACAGUGCGUGGCGGCUUCUAAGGUCUUGUCUUCUGCCUUUUUUUUCUCAACUUUUUUUUCGCGAUAACAUAGAAUAAUCUCUAGCUUCAUGUGCGUGACAUUUGCUGUAAAUAUCAGCUGAUGUUGAUCAGGGAUAGUGUCGUAUUGACAGGGGUUAAUUUGUUGGAAAUCCAUUAGAGAGAAGAAGGGAUAUCACAAGGGUUCAUGUAGGAAUAUGCUCUUUAAUAACGUUUAAGUCAUUUGUGAGUUAUUUACAUUCAGACAAGAAAGUAGGUACUUUAGAUAAGUUCUUCUCAAAACGUGGAAAUUGGAGAUGAUUUAUUGUUUGUUGUGGGCCGAGGGUUGAUCAAUUUCUUUAGAUACCUUUUUUUUCCCUCUUAAAACUUUUUUUUUCUUAUUAAUUUUUUUUCAUACCACAAAAAAAAAAAUUAAUCAAUAUGACUUUUUUUAUAUUAUAUAAAAGUUGGGUGAUGAUUUUUUUUUCAUUUUAGGUUGGGUUGAAUUUUCUUAUUAAAACAUGUUUCUUUUUUUUUUAUUUCAAAAAUGCUUUGAAAAAAUAUUAAAUUUUUUUUAUUGUUUUCUUUACUUUAAAUUCAUAUUUUUGAUGUUUUGUAUAUUUUAAUUUUUUAAAAAACAAUAUAUUGAGAUUGGGGAGAAUAUAAUAAGUUGAGUCCUAUUCCAGAAGGACCCAAUGCUUUUAAUUUUUUUUUUCUUUUCUCUCAUGUGAUUUGUUUUUAUAUAGUAAAGAGAAAAUAAAUCGAUGAGAGGUUUUAUUUUAUAUUGUUUAAAAGUUAGGUAAUCAUAAUUUUUUUCAUUUGAAGUUGUGUUGAAUUUUCUUAUUAAGACAUGUUUAUUUUUAUAUUUCAAAAAUUCUUUGAAAAAAAAUUAAAUUUUUUUCUAUAAUAUUAUCAGAUUAAAGUUGAUGGAGCUCUCAAUAAAUUUUUGAUUCACAUCAUAUACUUUAUAUAUUUGUAUUAUAUAAGAGAAUUUUUUAACAAUAAAAUCCAUUAAAAAAUAAUUCAUAAAUAUUAUAAUAUAAUAUUAUUUUGGGUAAUAGAAGAUAUUUUAAUUUUGUAACACUAGUGUAUGAGAUUCAAAGUUUUAUUAAUGUUUAUUGUCUUUAGAUCUUUUGUUCAGUAGUUUUGAAUUAUAUGUAUUAUUAAAUACAUAAAUAAAUUAUGUGUUGGGUCUUCCCUCAGCAUGACCCAUUAGAGUUGGGUCCAGGUUAGGACAGGACCCAAAUUAGCUUUUGGGGACCCAAAAGCAUUAGGUCCGGACCCAAGGCUAAUAGAUCAUGUGUCAGGACCCAACACCCUUGAGUCUUGCAGCCCCGCUUGACCCAAGAUAAUUAAUCUUUCGCCAGGACUUAAUCUCUUGGGUCUUACGUCAGGACCCAAUGCUCUUGGGUCGUGAAUUCUCUUGGGCUAUGUCAGGACCAAGGCUAAUAGGUUCUGCUUCACGACCCAAGACUAAUAGGUUCUGUGUCAGGAUCCAAUUUUCUUGGGCCCUGUUAGGUCCAAUGCUCUUGGGUCUGCGUCAGGACCCAAGACUAAUGGGACCCGCGUCAGGACUCAAUUCCAUUGGAUCUUGCGUCAAGUGUCAUUUCUCUUGAGUUCGACAUCAGGACCAAGGCUAAGGGUUUCUGCAUUAGAACCCAAGGUUCUUGGGUCUUAAGUUUCUAAAUAUAAUUAUUUGUAUUAUAAAUAUUAUUAUUAUUGUUGUUGUUAUUAAAAGUAUCAAUAUGAAAAAUAGUAUUAUUUGUGUUAUAAAUAUUAUUAUUUUUAUUAUAAUUGAAAGUAUUAGCAUUAAAAAUAGUAUUAUUUAUGUUAUAAAUAUUAUUUUUUUUCUUAUAAUUAAUAUUAUUAAUAAAAUAAUUAUUAAGUUUGAAAAAAAAUAUUAUCAAUAUCGAAAAAAAACUAUAGAUUUGAUUUGAAAUGUAAAAUUAAAAAUUAUUAUUAUUAUUAUUAUUGUUAUUACUAUUAUUAUCAUUAAUAAAUUUUAAAAAACUAUUAUUACUAUAAAAAAAUAUUUUUUUUGAAAGAUUAAAAAAAAUAAAAUUUUUGACAAAUAAGUUAAAUAUUAUUAUUAAUAUUAUUGUUGGGUUUGACGUUGUUGCAGCCAGACUCAAAACUCUUGAGUCUGAUAUUACAGCUAGACCCAACAUUUUUAGGUUAUAAAAUUUAAAAUUUUGAAUUUUUUUAUGGGAAUUUGUAAUCCAAUUUAUAGUCGCAAAUCGGUUUAAAAAUAAAUAAAUAAAUUUUGAAUUAGUCCAGAAUGACUAAUGUUACCUUCAGCAUAGGCUCCCACCAACCAUAUUGGCUGCACAAUUAACCCCUAUUAAGAUUUCCGCAAUGUGUGUUACAUGUGAUUUUUAAAAGUAUUUAUUAAAAAAAAUAUUAAAAUAAUUAUUUUUUAAUUUUAAAUAUUAGUAUAUUAAAAUUAUAAAAAAUACUAAAAAAUAUUAGUUUAAUAUUUUUUCAAGAAAAAUAUAUUUUUAAAAAACAUCAAAAAACAAAAAUUAUCUCAGACAAUACCUAAAAAUGACAACAAUAAUUUUAGAGAGAAAACUUCCAAGACCCAAAAGCUUCAUUUAGUCUUAAGAAUUAAUUUGUUGAUCACUGAGAUUAUCGUAUAUAUUUUAUUGGGAAUUAUUCUAUUCUGAUUAAAAAAUUAAUUGAUUUUUAUUUAAUCCAUCUUAAUGAGAAACUUAGUUAUUGAGACUAGAAUGUGUAUGUGUGUGAGAGAGAGAGAGAGAGAGAAAAUAAAUAAAUGUGACUAGAAUCUUUGGAUCAUAUCAUAUCAAUUCAAAUAGAUUUUAAUCAAUAUAUUAUACUUUAGUCAAAUUUAAUAUAUGGAGGAUAUGAUCAAGUUUUACUAUGAUCGAGAGUUAGGGUGCGGAUUUACCUUUUCUAACAUCUUGUCCAUCCCUGGCAUCAUUUUUUUUUAAUAUAUUUUAUCUUUUUUUUUUUGUUUAUAUUGUGUACAUGAAUGGAUUAUGUUAUAGUUUUUGUUGUUUUAUUUAUAAAUAUUAAUUUUAUAGUGUUGUGGUUCGAAAAUGGAGUUUUUUUAUUUUAAUUAUUUAAGAUCUGAUUAUGUGAUUUUUUUAAUAAAAGUUUAAAAAAAAACAAAAAAAAAACAAAAUAAGGAAACUUGAGUCGGGUCGGGGACCAAUGAGUCCUUAACAAGAUCCAAGCCUUUGGUCCAAGGAUGUGGGCUCUUAGAAGUGGUUGUGGGCUCUUAGACAGACCCAAUAAGACAUGUAGUCAACAUAAUUUUGAGCUUAAAGGCUUUCAACGAGUGUGGAAAGUAUAAAUCUAGCUUAGAAUAGUCUAAUCCAAAAUCUAGAAGAGUGACAUGGAAGAGCAUAGUUGUAUAACCCAAUCUGAGUUAACCCGAGACAGACAUUGAUUACGGAUUGGGAGAGUUAAUCUCUAAAUUAUUUUUUAAGAAAAAAAUAAAAUAAUAUUGUUUGUUCAAUUUUUUUCUAAAAAAAAAGUCAAUAGCUGUGAGGAUUGGGUUUUAAUUGAGUUAGCAAGUCGAUACAUAUUUAUGAUUAGGUCAGCCGAGCAGGUUUUUUUAUUUUAUUUUUUUAAUCCAAAGGUUAAGUCAGUCUUUUUCGGGCUGCUUAAUUAAUUUGUGUCCCCAACUCUACUAGCAAAAACAACUAUUCUCCACAUAUAUCACGUCUGUAAAAGAAGCGCAGUGGGCAUAAAACUUGAAGGCAUGGAUAGACAAAAAAGACGUACACGGGUCAUAUUUUUUAUUUGACUCAGAGCAGGAAACGUUUUAUUUUUAUAUCUUGUUAGGCAUACAGAUUACAGACGGAUGUGACAAAAUUACAUGGAGUCGACCAAGUCCAAGAGUCCAUUUGCGAAUGACUUUUGGUUGUAGCAGUCGAGAUUGUUUCCAUAUCCAACUCCAAGCAAGUCACAGUACCUCUUGUAGAACCCAAUACGAUCCUCCACCUGUUGCUUCCACCCCAUACCACAUUCAAGCCCGCCAUUGAUAAUGUUUGUUAACACACCGUAGCCUGGAACCCGACCAGCUGCCGAAUCAGCACCGGAAGGUGACCAAUUCCCAGUGAUGAUACUGUGGCAUGAGGGCUUUGGAGACUGUGCUGUCAUCCAAAACCAAAUUGCUGUCUUGAAGGAAAUUACUGGAUCGGUUGCAACAAGGUCAGGAUUGUUUAAUAGAUCCACUCCUAUAGCUUUUCCACACUGCCCGUAGUUGUAGUUCCUGUGUCAUAUUUAUCAAAUUAAAUUAACUUCACUGCAAAGUUGUGCUAAAUAACACACACACGCUUGAAUUCUUUCAAUUUGAUUUUUAAUGCUUGAAAAUGGGUGGAUGAAUAUGUAAACCCAGAAAUGAAGAAAAAAAUACCUACCAGAUAACAAUAAUAAAAAAUCUGGACUUACCAUGAAAGCUGGACAGGACCUCUGCCAUAAUAUUGCUUGCCACCAGCACAUGGAUAUGUGGAACUUGGAGAACAAUAAGUUCCAGGAUUUUGUUCCUUGACAAAGCAAUAUCCCCAAGCGUAUGCACCAUCAGGUGCAGUUUGCCACCCUCCUACAUGUACAUUCAUCAAAUGAAAUCAUGAUAAUUAACUUGCUAAUAUUCCUCUGAUACAUAAUGUUAUGUGAAGAAGUAUAUAAACUAAGCUGAUUAAUUAGGUUUGAGACUGAUUAAACGAACCGGUAGUUUCAUGAGAGGUUUGGCCCAAGAAAGCAGCGAUCUCCCUUUUACGAGUGUUAGCAUCACCAGCUGAGAUGAAAGCAUUGUAAGUGUAGAAUCCCUUGCCAGGGCAUUGUAAGUGUAGAAUCCCUUGCCAGGGCAUCCACCAUCAUUUCUAUGUUUAAGCAUCUCAUCAAACUUCGCACUUGAGAUGAUACUGCCAAGGUCUCCUCCGCCCGCACCACCGCACUGGCUUUGGCAGCCGGUACCACAGUAAUCAUUAGUGCUGCCACACCAACCAAAUUGGCUACAACAUAGACCUCCCGGACACACGGCACCCCCGGC
rnacentral:lncRNA from 1 species